AACCCAGAGAAGGAAGCAGAGCAGCCCCGUGGACGGUUCAAGCUCCACCCAAAGCUGUAGAAGUAAAGAGAAGUCACCGUGGCAGGCCUGGGUCCCACAGCCCUUGGGCUCUGACCAGCUCUGCAGGGACCCCCAAGCCUGAGGAAGACGCAUACACGCCCUGGUCUCUUGAAGCUGCCCCUGCUCCGAAGGUUAGCAGGUCCAAAGUGGUCUCCAUGCUAACAACAACUUGACCGAAUCUGCAGAGAAAGAGGCAUCGCUACCCCCUGAUUUGCAAACAGAAAACCCAGGGCCAAGAGACCGUGCCCAAGAUCAAACACAAGCACACGAACUGAGAUUGCUGACCAGCGCUUCUUUUGUUUUCCCAAUUGGUGCUGAUCAUGAUGUGGGGAGCCCAUCAGACCCCGCGUAGCCACAGAACCGGCACCACCCUCUGCACUGAAGAUGCCCACAAGAGCCCCUGCACCCCCUUCUCUACGCCUCUGUGCCAGGUGCAGCGAGAAGGUCACUAGGAUUGUCGCCUUCCAGAAGAUUCUCCACCCUGUGGCUCCUGACCAACUCUCUCCACCAGACCCCCCAUGCCCAAGGGGUCCUUCCUCCUUGGG